AGCGCCAGCUGGGUUGUAAAACAUGUUCAAGAAGCUACACUGUAAGUCACACAAUAUAGUAAGUCCAUGCAUAUUUGUAUUUACAAGUAGAUCUUCCACAAUCCAUUGAUUAGACUGGAAGACUCCUGACAGAACAAGAUAUUUACGUAUUUCUGGACUGGAUUUGUGGAGUGGCGUGUUCACAAUUCUGAUGGUAACACAGUUGCAAAAAUCAGGCUUAUUUGAAACUACUCAAAAAACUGUUUGAAAAUAAAACUGUGAUGAAACAGUCAAUAUGACAUAUUACUUCGAAGCAUGUUUUAAAAAUAAGCAUAAAUCAUUAUAUUGUCACCUGAAGCCAUGAAAAUUUACAAACCUGGAGCUUCUGGAUCACUUAAUGUAUUUUCCACAUCUGUAUUAUAUUCAUAUGAAACUGUAAAUUAAAUAUGAAAAAUAAGUAUUGUUGAAAUAAAAUUAUUUUAUAUACUUGAUUAUUUUAACUUGCGUCCAUAAUGUGUCUGUCAAUAGCUAAAUGUAGGUCCUUAGUUGAAAACUGACAAAUUAAAACCUUACAUACACUUGCAACUUGACAUAUGGCAAUCUAAUGGAAGGAGUUGGGCCACUCUCUUCUAUUCAUGUGUUAUACUCUAUGUAUGAAAUCUACAUCCACAAGAACCAUUAGCCUCCAUCAAUUUUUUAAUAAUUAUUUUAACAGGAAUAAAAAAAACGCAAUCUUCCCCUAUCCUCAAAGUUCUCAAGGAGCUUCUUUACUGAUCUCCAGGAGGACUACUGGUGAUGAUCUACAGAAGACAAAAGCCAGAAAUCAGACCUUGAGAAAUAUGUACAUUCACUUCUGGCAUCACAGAUCUAGAGCAACUUACCUUUUUUUUUUUUUUGUUGUUGCCUAGCUAAAUAUGCGGAUUAUUUUCCUCUGUGACUACAAUUCUUUGCAAUGGUAUUAAUAUGCUCAGUAUGAUCCAUCUGACAAUGCAUGGUACUAAAGGUAAAGCAACUAUUCUUUCACUUGGAGCCAUCGCAGCUUAAAUUCUAAAUUGGUAACUGGAAAGCAGUAGUCUCCCACAAAGACAGGGAUAAGUAGUUUUAGAUGCAUCUAAGAAAAUUAUUUUUCUGUCGCAUUUGGCAUCAAACAGAACUGUAAAGUCCAGAACUAACACUGAGCCAAAGAUAAGAACCUUAGUCCAAACAGCAAUCAAUGUC
rnacentral:lncRNA from 1 species